CGCGGCCUAUCAGCUUGUUGGUGGGGUAACGGCCUACCAAGGCAUCGACGGGUAGCUGGUCUGAGAGGACGAUCAGCCACACUGGGACUGAGACACGGCCCAGACUCCUGCGGGAGGCAGCAGUGGGGAAUCUUGCGCAAUGGGCGAAAGCCUGACGCAGCAACGCCGCGUGGGGGAUGAAGGCUCUCGGGUUGUAAACCCCUUUCAUCAGGGACGAAAUUGACGGUACCUGAAGAAGAAGCCCCGGCCAACUACGUGCCAGCAGCCGCGGUGACACGUAGGGGGCGAGCGUUGUCCGGAAUUAUUGGGCGUAAAGAGCUCGUAGGCGGUUUAGUAAGUCAGAUGUGAAAGGUUGGGGCUCAACCCUAAGACUGCAUCCGAUACUGCUAUGACUAGAGUCCGGUAGAGGAGUGUGGAAUUCCUGGUGUAGCGGUGAAAUGCGCAGAUAUCAGGAGGAACACCGACGGCGAAGGCAGCACUCUGGGCCGGUACUGACGCUCAGGAGCGAAAGCGUGGGUAGCAAACAGGAUUAGAUACCCUGGUAGUCCACGCCGUAAACGUUGGGCACUAGGUGUGGGGCCCUAUCAACGGGUUCCGUGCCGUAGCUAACGCAUUAAGUGCCCCGCCUGGGGAGUACGG
rnacentral:rRNA from 1 species